AUUUAAGUAGCUUAAUUUUAAAGCUUAAUAUUGAAGAUAUUAUGAUGAAUAUUUUUCCUUAAAUA
rnacentral:tRNA from 2 species